rnacentral:rRNA from 1 species
ACGGGAGGCAGCAGUGGGGAAUAUUGCACAAUGGGGGAAACCCUGAUGCAGCGACGCCGCGUGAACGAUGAAGUAUCUCGGUAUGUAAAGCUCUAUCAGCAGGGAAGAAAAAAGACGGUACCUGACUAAGAAGCACCGGCUAAAUACGUGCCAGCAGCCGCGGUAAUACGUAUGGUGCAAGCGUUAUCCGGAUUUACUGGGUGUAAAGGGAGCGCAGGCGGUCUUGCAAGCCAGAGGUGAAAACCCGGGGCUCAACCCCGCGGAUUGCCUUUGGAACUGUAGGACUUGAGUACUGGAGGGGCAGGCGGAAUUCCUGGUGUAGCGGUGAAAUGCGUAGAUAUCAGGAGGAACACCGGUGGCGAAGGCGGCCUGCUGGACAGAAACUGACGCUGAGGCUCGAAAGCGUGGGGAGCAAACAGGAUUAGAUACCCUGGUA